GCCGCCCUCUAACCACUUCCCCUUGCAGCGGCCAGUGGGAGGUGUUCGUUCCUGCCUCCAGUGGAAUCUAGCUUCCCUGGGGCAAGGAUUUCAGGGCUUCCAUGGUCUGGGCGCGACCCCUCUUCCUCUGUGGGCAGGCUGUCUCCAUGCCUGGGACGCAGCUCCUGUUUCUCUCAUCAGUAAUUUCCUGGAGAUGGUGCGGGGCUGGAACAGGCGGGCCCCAGACCUGGGCUGGGCUGUGACCACCACCAGGCUGCAGAGGCCUGGCCCAGAUCCCUGCUCCUCCUUCCUCACCUCUUCUUCCCUCCCCUUCAUGUACCAGCUCUACCUUCUGCCACCUUCUCAGCCCCAGGCCUCUGGGAACUGCAGACUCUCCAGGCCCCUCCCUACCAUGGUCCCUUGGGAGUGGGGCCGGGGAGCUGCUCAAGGUCACAGAGGAGGUUAGGGGCUGAGCUGGGACAGGAACCCAGCUCCAGCCUCUUCCCAGCUCUUCAGGACAGGCAGCCUCCAAGGAAGGUGAGCUCCUCCUGCCCUUCCUCUGAGACAGCUGACCUGGGGCUGGGCAGUGGCACGGGGGUGGGGCGCAGGCCCUGCUGCCCCCCCUCCCCCACCUCCGAGCCUCCAUUUCUUCUAUAUUUGGGGCAUUUCAAACCCUGGCUAGUCUCUGUGCCUGCUUUGCCGUGAGGCCCUCCUGCCUACGGUUGGGUGGGUCCUUAAUUAUGGGGUGGGGCCAGAGGUGGCAGAAGGGACCCAGCUCAGGAAAAAAAAAAAAAGGGCCUCUAUAGAUAGGAAGGCCAUCAUCUGCCACCUGCUGGCUGGAUUCAAGCUCCUAGCAAAUGCUUCCUGGUCUUUGAAUCCUGUCUUCAUUUUUUGACCUUGAGAUCUAAUAUCUUGGUCUUCAGUGUCCCUCCCCUCCCAUUUGGGCCCACCCUUUUUCACUGUGUCCUUGUUUCCUUCAAUUUGUCAACACUGUUCAUAUCAGCAUCCCCAUCCCAGAGGGAUCUGUAGGCAGAGGGCUCUGGCAGGGGCACUGCUUUACCCAGAGACACUGUGUGCCAUGUGACAGCCAGGUAUAAGGGAGGGGCUUGGGACAGGAGCUUCCUAGAACUCUGUGACCCAACCCUGUGGACGUUCACCUUCUCUAAGCAAGGCUGAUCCAUUUAUGUUCAUUACUGAAUUCGAAUUCCAAGGGAAGACAGUCUGCAGGUUGUUCCCAAAUAGAAACACACAUGCACAGAGAACCAGGAGCUUCUGCCAACAUGGCCCUCUUCCCCCGCGGCUCCCUGGGCCUGCAUCCCUCGGCCUGCAGGAGGAGGGGGGGAGAGGGAUCUGGAGGUGAGUGUCUGCUCCUGGCCCAGGCAGCCCUGCCAGUGCAGCCCUUCCAAGCAGGAAGGGGUGGGGGGAGCAGGGCCCUUGGGGUGGAGGUGUUUCAGUAUGAAGUCAUUUCCCACAGUGAAGCAGCAGCCACAUUCUGCACGGUCCACUUGCAGUCUGGGAUGCCUGCCCAGUGCCAGGAGAGAGUCUAAAAAUGCCCAAGCCCGUCUCGGAAUCUCGGGAGGCUGCCGAAGGGAACCUGGGCGUCGGCAAAUCCCCAAACAACUGCCUGUUCCACACCGAAGCCGGCAGGGGGUGGAACUCAUUCCAGCCUCCAGAGGCCCCGCAUUUCGCAGGGUGACAUAGUGCCCAAUAUCCGGACCACUGCCUGGAGCCCCUCAUGGGCAGUCCUGAUUCUGUGCCAUCUCCGGGUUCCCAGUGCCCAGGACUGAGUAGAUCCAAUCACUCAGCGUGGAGAUGGAGCUGAAAAUCCAAGUAGGUCUGCAGUGGGAGAUUUUCAUUGGUUUCCUCUGGCUCCUGUGAGUCUCCUGGGGUGUCCACACUGCCACAUGCCUGUCUACUUUGCUGCCUGAAAACUGCUCCAUGACAACACUGGCUGGAAAAGCAAAGGGACUCUGGCUGGGGAGCUGGCUGUCCAGAAACCAUGGUGACCAACAGCAGGAACCCACCCAGGUUAAGAGCUGGCUGUGCCCAGAUAUGGUAAGUUGAAAACAUUUUAUUUCAAUUCUAUCCUCAGGAGGCAGCAUAAAUAAUCACAGAUGACCACGAAGGUCAGUGGGGAAGAAAAAAAAGCUGCAGAAGUGUGGGGAGGAGAUGUGAGCUGACACAGUCUAGCUGUGGGGUCUAGGGGGGUGAGGAGACCCUGCUUUAGCUGGCUGAGAGGCUGGAAGGUUCUUGGAGGAAAAGCCCGAGGGGAUGGGGGGUUUUCCCUGCCCAGGUCACCCAGAGGGGCCCUCAGGAGCCCCGCCUCUGUGGAUGGUUAUUCUGCAGGGUGGCCUUGGGACUAGCAGGUGUGGAGCACAAUGCGUGCAGCAGGUUCUAGCUAAUGAGAGAGAAGAGUGGACACUCAUUUCUUGAUCUCCAGUCCGGAUCUCAAAGUCACCCCCUAACUGACUUUUCUGAGAACAGUGUUCACCGACUCGUAGGUAGUGAGAAAUGAAGGGAGAAAA